CUGUACUGCGGUAUGACAGAACUGUGGGGACACGUAAGGAAAGCGGAAGCCGGGAAUGGAGAGCCCGGUGCAAGCGGGGUACCAGUCACUUUGGCAAAUCCGGGUGGCAAUGGGAAGCCGUGAUGCGGAGCGAAAUAAAGUAGCGAAGUCCGUGAGCCAUGCGUCAAGAAAAGCCGCUAUCGUUUAUACCGUACCCGUACCGUAAACCGACACAGGUGGAUGAGGAGAGAAUCCUAAGGCCGGCGGAAGAAGCAUUGUCAAGGAACUCGGCAAAAUGGCCCCGUAACUUAGGGAUAAGGGGUGCCUGGGAAACCAGGCCGCAGAGAAUAGGCUCAAGCAACUGUUUAGCAAAAACACAGGUCUAUGCGAAACCGAAAGGUGAGGUAUAUGGGCUGACGCCUGCCCGGUGCUGGAAGGUUAAGAGGAGAGGUUAGCGGUAACGCGAAGCUUUGAAUUUAAGCCCCAGUAAACGGCGGCCGUAACAAUAACGGUCCUAAGGUAGCGAAAUUCCUUGUCGGGUAAGUUCCGACCCGCACGAAAGGCGUAAUGAUUUGAGCGCUGUCUCGACAAUGCAUCCGGUGAAAUUGAAGUACCAGUGAAGAUGCUGGUUACCUGCGCCAGGACGGAAAGACCCCAUGGAGCUUUACUCCAGUCUGGUACUGGGACUCGGUAUUGCAUGUACAGGAUAGGUGGGAGGCUAGGAGAUGGUAACGCCAGUUGCCAUGGAGCCGCUGUUGGGAUACCACCCUUGCAGUAUUGGGUUUCUAACCAGCCGCCGUGACCCGGCGGUGGGACAAUGCCAGACGGGGAGUUUGACUGGGGCGGUCGCCUCCGAAAGGGUAUCGGAGGCGCCCAAAGGUUUCCCUCAGAAUGGACGGAAACCAUUCGAAGAGUGCAAAGGCAGAAGGGAGCUUGACUGCGACACCGACGGGUGGAGCAGGUACGAAAGUAGGGCUUAGUGAUCCGGUGGUAUUAAGUGGGAAUGCCAUCGCUCAACGGAUAAAAGCUACCCUGGGAUAACAGGCUUAUCACUCCCAAGAGUUCACAUCGACGGAGUGGUUUGGCACCUCGAUGUCGGCUCAUCGCAUCCUGGGGCUGUAGUAGGUCCCAAGGGUUGGGCUGUUCGCCCAUUAAAGCGGUACGCGAGCUGGGUUCAGAACGCCGUGAGACAGUUCGGUCCCUAUCCGGCGUGGGCGUAGGAUAUCUGAGAGGAGCUGUCCUUAGUACGAGAGGACCGGGAUGGACGGGCCGCUGGUGCAUCGGUUAGACUGCCAAGUCUACGGCCGAGUAGCCAAGCCCGGAAGGGAUAAACGCUGAAGGCAUCUAAGCGUGAAGCCCCCCUUAAGAUGAGAUAUCCCAUUCGUUAAGAAGUAAACCCCCUUGAAGACGACGAGGUAGAUAGGGCAGAGGUGGAAGUGCAGUAAUGCAUGGAGCUGACUGUUACUAAUCGGGUGAGGGCUUGACC
rnacentral:rRNA from 1 species